GGAGAGGCGGCCGCACAGAGGGUGUGAGCUGCUCCCUGGAGCCGCUCCAGCCUCUGACUAACCUGCGUUAAUCUCCCCCCCCCCCCCCAGAACAUGUAGCCAUUCUUCUUAGUUACUUCGCUGAAGUUUCACUUCCUGGCAGCGACAUAUUAUUACUUUUCUUCGCCGCCCCCUCCGUCUUCUGCCCGGUUCUGGGCUUUUUAUCUUUCUUUUGUUUUGUUGCCACAUCCUGCCCGAAGAGGAGAAGACACAAGACAGGAGAUAAGGCGGCCACCACUGAGGAGCGCCAGGGUGCCCUCAGUCCCAGCACAUUUUUCUGGUGUAAAUAAAGAUUGAAAUCUAAUCCCAACUACGAACUGCUGUAGAUUUCAGCUUGGAUGCAUGGAUUGCCAGAAGAUGCGCUGAAUUUGUGACAAGGCAUGCGCUUCACCAUAAAUUAAAGAAGCACUCCGGUUUUGCUGAAAACACUGAAGUCCUCACAAGAUUGAUUCAGGGCUGUCGCAGAGCCAGAAUGAGUGAGGAGAACAAGGACUGGGCAAUCCUCAGCCCAGAGGAGUUCACCCAACUGCAGAAGUACAUUGAUUACAGUACCAAAAAGGUUCAAGAUGUUCUGCGGGAGUUCUACGGGGAUGGCACCUCCAGCCCCCACCUAACUGAGGAGUCGAUAGAUUUUGAGGGGUUCAAGAGUUUCUUGAAAGCCUACCUGGAUACAGAUGACAUUUCUCCUGAUCUCUGCAAGCGGCUUUUCAUGUCCUUCCAGGCUGCACCCAAUGUGGAUGGGCAAGGAAAUGAAAUAGAUGGAGCAAAUGAAAUCGGUCGUAUCAGCCUGAAUGAUGUUUCCUGUUACUUUUCCUUGCUGGAAGGGGGUACGGCAGAGGACAAGCUUGCAUUUACCUUUAAGUUGUACGACAAGGACAGCAAUGGACUUCUGGACAGCUCUGAAGUGGAUCGGAUUAUAACACAAAUGAUGAGAGUUGCUGAGUACUUGGACUGGGAUAUCACUGAACUUAAACCGAUGCUGGAAGAGAUGAUGAGACAGGUAGACUAUGAUGGCAAUGGGACGGUUUCCUAUGAAGAAUGGCUGAAAGGGGGACUGACCACGGUGCCCUUACUGGUGCUGCUAGGAAUGGAAGCUAAUAUGAAGGAUGAUGGGCAGCAUUUGUGGCGUCUGAAGCAUUUCAACCGCCCUGUGUAUUGCAACGUUUGUGAAGCUCUGCUCUUUGGGGUCAGGAAGCAAGGCCUGUGCUGCACUUUUUGUAAGUUUACUGUUCAUGAACGCUGUGCUCGUAAAGCGCCGGAUAUCUGCAUCAGCACGUAUGCCAAGUCCCGCAAAGAUGCUAGUGGACAGACUCACGUAUGGGUGAGAGGGGGCUGUGAAGCCAGCAAGUGUGACAAAUGCCAGAAAAAGAUAAAAAGCUUUCAGAGUCUAACUGGUCAGCGCUGUGUCUGGUGCCAUACAAAGGUCCAUGAUGAAUGUGUUUCCAUGAUUCCUCCUACAUGUGAUGGUGGUGUCUUGCGGGACCACAUAUUACCUCCUUCCUCCAUUUAUCCUGUAAUCUUGGAACGACAGAACAGCCAAAAGAAUCUCAUUGCUGCCUCAGAUGAAAUGGCACAGAGCUUCAGUACAGCAGAAGGACAGGCAUUACGGAUUGUACCAAUUUCAGACACACACCCUUUACUUGUCUUUGUCAAUCCGAAGAGUGGAGGAAAACAGGGAGAGAGAGUUCUUCGCAAGUUCCAGUAUCUACUAAACCCUCGACAAGUGCAUAAUCUACUUAAAGGGGGGCCUGCACCUGGUCUCAAUUUCUUCUGGGAUGUUCAAGAUUAUCGGAUUUUAGUGUGUGGUGGGGAUGGCACUGUUGGAUGGAUUUUGGAUGCCAUUGACAAAGCUAAUCUUCCACACAGACCACCUGUAGCUGUUCUACCCCUCGGGACCGGGAACGACCUUGCUCGAUGUCUCAGAUGGGGAGGAGGUUAUGAUGGAGAAAAUCUAGUUAAAGUGUUGAAAGACAUUGAAAAAAGUACAAUAUUGUUGAUGGACCGGUGGAACAUUGAGGUCACACCAGAGAACCCUGAAGAAAAGGGAGACCCUGUUCCAUAUGAGAUAAUCAACAACUACUUCUCUAUUGGAGUGGAUGCUUCCAUCGCUCACCGGUUUCAUGUUAUGAGGGAGAAAUAUCCUGAGAAAUUCAACAGCAGAAUGAAGAAUAAACUCUGGUAUUUUGAGUUUGCCACAUCAGAAACAGUUUUUUCUACAUGUAAAAAAUUGAAGGAGUAUGUGACAAUUGAGUGCUGUGGAUCCCCCUUGGAUCUCAGUUCAGUAUCCCUUGAAGGCAUUGCUGUUAUUAAUAUUCCCAGCAUGCAUGGUGGCUCCAAUUUGUGGGGAGAGACAAGGAAACCUUUGGGUGAACCUCGAAAUGCUUCAUCUCAGAAUCUGCCUGAAGCUAUCACUGAUCCAGAAGCCCUAAAGUCAUGUACUCAAGAUCUUAGUGAUAAGAGGCUAGAAGUUGUGGGAUUGGAAGGAGCCAUUGAAAUGGGACAAAUUUAUACAGGCCUGAAAAGUGCAAGGAAAAGACUGGCUAAAUGUUCAGAGCUUACGAUUCGAACCACAAAGCCGCUGCCAAUGCAGAUUGAUGGGGAGCCCUGGAUGCAGCCACCAUGCACAGGCCUUGGAAUAAAAGGAGAUCUUCUAUCAUUAGUAUAUGCCAUUGGUAUGGUACAAUACCUGGAAUACCUAAACCAAGGAAUAAGACACAAGAAAGCACACUACUACUCCCAGCUCGACACCUGAAUUGGACUGUGGAUUGUUCCAUGUAACCCAGUACUUACUGAUCAGUAGCAGCCUAUCCCAGAUUAAGAUUACACACAAGAACCAGGCACCAAUGAUGUUGGCUCCUCCACCAAGGUCCUCAAGUUUUUUUUCUAAGUAGCAGAUCAAGCUAUGAGACACCCAAUAUCUAUUGUUCAAUGACGACUUCUACCGUAGGAACCAAGUGUCCAUGGACCACGAGCUUAACCUUUACCCUCAGAUUCUUCUUGAUAUAACCAAACUGUAGGGUUGGCCUCUUUGCUAUCACCCAUGAUAGUUCUGACCAUUUUGUUUACCAGCUAAACUGUCAGAGAUCAUUUAUGAGCAGAGCAUCAGAGAAUUAAAAUAUAUAUAUAUAUAUAUAUAUACUGUAUGAUCGAACACAUUGAGAUAUUUAGGUUGUUAUUCUCUAGAUGCCCACUGAGCAUGUUCCUCUUUGCAUUUAGCUUACCUUUUAAAGCUAUUAUACAGUACUUAUAACCGUAUAGUACCAAUUUUAGGAUAAGAUUAGAUUUUACACUGCCUUAUUCCUGGAUAAAAACAAUCAUUACAGAUUGUAUGUACGUUUACAAUAUCUGAUAUUUUUAGAAUACCAAAAUGCUUUAGACAGUAUGCGUAGGAAAUAACAUAUCAUAUAUGAACUUUCCAACAUGUGUAGUAUACAGCAACGUCAUAUGGAGACCAUGAAUUCUUCCUAUAUUUUAUUGCAGUUGACAUGGGUACGAACCACUGGGGACAACAGAUCACAUUGCACUGUUUUUAUUUAUAUUUUUUUUAACUUAUGAUGCUUAUAUUGAGAAUGAAUAUAAAUUUUGCCAAAUUUGAUUUAGAGAAUCAUGAAAGCAGUAGGAAAUAAAAGAAUACAACAUA